rfam:Drosophila grimshawi strain TSC#15287-2541.00 scaffold_15203 genomic scaffold, whole genome shotgun sequence.
UGCUUAAUUGUAUUUUUAAAUUAAUUCUUAAAAAUUACAAAAUUAAGAU